CUGCAGAUCACUCUCCGGGCCGGUAACCUGCAGGUUGCUUGACGGCCAUGGUUUACAGGCCGUCCGGGUACUGCCGGGAAACCGGCGCGCCUCCCGUUAAUGGAAAGGGGGCAAAACUAUCCCGGU
rnacentral:ncRNA from 1 species